CCAGGCCUGGGAUUUCCACGUGUCCACAUUUACUGAUCAGGACAGAACACAGAGAACUCACCAUGGACUUUGUGCUUGGCUGGGUUUUCCUUGUUGUUCUUUUAAAAGGUGUCGAGUGCGAGGUGCAGCUGGUGGAGUCUGGGGGAGACCUGGUGAAGCCUGGGGGGUCCCUGAGACUCUCCUGUGCAGCCUCUGGAUUCACCUUCAGUAACUAUGCCAUGAGCUGGGUCCGCCAGGCUCCAGGGAAGGGGCUGCAGUGGGUCGCAGCUAUUUGGGAUGAUGGAAGUAAAACAUACUAUGCAGACUCUGUGAAGGGCCGAUUCACCAUCUCCAGAGACAACGGCAAGAACAUGCUGUAUCUGCAGAUGAAUAGCCUGAGAGCCGAGGACACGGCCGUGUAUUACUGUGUGAAGGACACAGUGAGGGGCCCUCAGUGUGAGCCCAGACACAAACCUCAAACUACAAGAGUAUCAGACCAUCAGAGGGCGCACACUAUUCAUCAAUGCUGUCUGUAA